GUUACGCUGUGCUGAAUGUGAUCCAAAUGUGAUGAGAAUAUUGUCCAUUCUAACUACCUGCAAUGCAACAUAUGAUGGGGUAGGAGGAGCCGUCUCGAACGAUUCAAUGCAGACUGAUGUCUCCACACCUGAUUAUGGUACGCCGAACUCCUGUUUUGGACUUGAGCAUUUCGACAUCCAUCACCCGGACUACUUAUACCAGAUUGGACAGAUUAUACUCGA